UGACGGACCGCACGCCCCCAGGCCAGUGCACCAGAGCCCUAUCUGGGCUUCAAACUUCACCCACUCCGAACCUAACCUUGCCAGAGCCGGGGGUGUGUGGUCUCUCUUGCUUCUCCGUCUGCUCUGUUUACACCUAGUUUGGUUAUUUCUUUUUCUAUUAUAUCCUUAUUUACACAUAUUAGAUAUAAUCAUAUCUCUUAUUAUUUAAUUUGAAGAUUAUUUAUCCUCUAUUUCCAUUAUCAGAUUUCUUUUUCCCUUAGUAUUUUAUUAUCUUAUUUUCAUUUGUCCAUCUCAACUCCACCUGACCAUCAUUCCAUGACCUUCUGCAUAGAUACACUUUUCCAAAGUCAAUCAGCACCAUCUCCACUAACAGGAUGACUACUAAUCAUUUCACCUAUUCCAGUUAUUAGGAUUAUAACCCCUACCUUGGCUUAUCCUAACCCUAACCAUUCUGGACCCCUGAACAUUAAUUCUUUCAUCCCUAUUAAGUCACAUAUAUCCUAACCCUAAACCAGGAGCUUUAUUUCUUUACUUUAUUUAUUUUUAUUAUAUUAAUUUCCUCCACAGGUGCAGCUCGGGAAGUAGUCCUUCCCUCCGCUCUCCUCCUUAUAACAACCCUUAUUGAUCAUAUUCAAAUGCAAUUGCAUAGCUCACUGGGGGGAACAGUCUAGCACAAACCUGUAUGUUCCUCUGGGGGCACCAUUCAGGAUCACUCACAUACAAAGUUCACCUUUAACCUGUGUCGCUCCUCCAAUCCACAUACUGUACCCCCAUCUUGACUCCUCCCCCUUUUCUUUCCACCUAUAGCCUUUUUUUGCCUUCCCCAAACUUCCCUCUCCCAUAGGCCCAAACUCCACCUGGGCGGCCCCGCAGCUGUGGGCCAACCGGCAGUGAGAGGGUGGCUGAUUAGACGGAGAGAGUAUUCUCCUUAUAUAAGCCACCCUCUCACACCGUAGCCUGCUUCCUCCCUCCAUACCCCUCUGAAGAAGCGCCAGACAGGCGCGAAACGUCAGGGGUACCCGCUCUGUCGGAUCGCUCGCCGACCUCAACCUUUUAACUAGCUUUAUUUAAUUAAAUUCACCAACCCUAUUUGGACUUUUUAAAUUUAAAUUAUUAAAAGUUAAGUUUUAACGUUACACCCGAGCCACCACCCACCUGCCGGAGCGCAUUCUCCCUCCUCCGUCUCCGUCGGCUCCUCUUUUUUUGCUGAGUCAUGUUUUCCAGGAAACUCACACACGCUGAUCGCCACGAGGAGCAACGGAGACCGCAGCCGCAACACGGAGCAGGAUCAAUACAGGCGCUGCCCCCAGAGGACGCUGACUGCUCCCAUAGAUGGCUGCUGGCCUGGGGAUAACAU